rnacentral:rRNA from 1 species
CAGUAGCCGCGGGAAUACGAAGGGGGCUAGCGUUGCUCGGAAUGACUGGGCGUAAAGGGCGCGUAGGCGGCGGCCAAAGUCAGGCGUGAAAUUCCCGGGCUCAACCUGGGGGCUGCGUUUGAUACUUGGUUGCUUGAGUGGGGAAGAGGGUCGUGGAAUUCCCAGUGUAGAGGUGAAAUUCGUAGAUAUUGGGAAGAACACCGGUGGCGAAGGCGGCGACCUGGUCCUUUACUGACGCUGAGGCGCGAAAGCGCGGGGAGCAAACAGGAUUAGAUACCCCGGUAGUCCCUGUCUCUUAUAC